GGCCUUUGAUGCAAAGAAAAUUGUCCGUACCAUCUGAUCUCUUGAUGUAUUAAAACAUCUCUAGUUUCUGAGGCCU